rnacentral:rRNA from 1 species
GACGUAGGGCGCGAGCGUUGUCCGGAUUUAUUGGGCGUAAAGAGCUCGUAGGCGGCUUGUUGCGUCGACUGUGAAAACCCGCGGCUUAACUGCGGGCUUGCAGUUGAUACGGGCAGGCUAGAGUUCGGUAGGGGAGACUGGAAUUCCUGGUGUAGCGGUGGAAUGCGCAGAUAUCAGGAGGAACACCGAUGGCGAAGGCAGAUCUCUGGGCCGUAACUGACGCUGAGGAGCGAAAGCAUGGGGAGCGAACAGG